rnacentral:lncRNA from 1 species
GUUUAGCGAAGAUGAACCAAACGCGUGACGGUUGGGAAACCAUUAUCUCGCGCGUGAAGAAGAAUUGCCAAAAUACGCGAAUUGCGGUCGAGAAUGAACCUGACCUUCAAUCUAUUUGAGAAAUUUGGGGUGUCGACUAGAAAUAUGUUCGAAUCUCCGCAUUAUCCCAAUAAUAGACGAUUACCGCUGCCGGUGGGCAUGCGAUUCGGGAACGGUCAGGAGGAAGGACAAGGACUUUCUCACAGGGAUAAGAGGAACCACAGGGUCAAGACGCAGCACAGGGCCAGGACACAGCAUACGGCCAGGAGAACCCUCAACAAGAAUUAUAAAAUAAACACUGGCAUUCAACCGCACGGCCUUGUCUGCUGUUUUUUUUCACGUAUUUUGAGUGCCGAAUUGAAGUUUAAAUUUGUUUCCAAUCGAUCCAUUUGGUUCUUCCUUUGCCACUGG